GCUCUUGUAGACAGAAUGUAUGUAGAAGCGUAUGCCAACCAACGAGACCUGAACCAAAUAAGGACAGUCGCAACUGAGAUAGUGCAGGCUGUACAGUCCACUGUUGAUGAAAAUGAUUGGUUGUCAAGAGAAACAAAAACAUCUUUACGAGCUAAGAUAGAACGCAUACAGAUUCAAGUUGGUUACCCUGAGUACAUCCUGAAUGACUCAUACAUCAAUAACUUGAGUGAAACU
rnacentral:sRNA from 1 species